rnacentral:lncRNA from 1 species
AUGGCCCUUAUAUGUAAUACUAUCUCUCUGGACUCACACAUAUUAUUAAUAUUUGAUUAUUUUGCAGAAUUUUAUAAAAUGGUUUUCCUACUCUGACUGUUUUAAAUGACAUCAUAUGCCUUUGGAGAAUUUUGAAUUGGAGGAUAUUAUCGUUUUUUGGCCACUUCAAAUAUAUUAUGAGUUAUAUACAGGAAACUGAUUUUAAAGAGUGAUGGAUUGGAUGGAUAGCGUGGAUAAGUAAAUAAAUGAAUACACAGGCAUAUAUUUACAUUUGCACACAUACAUACCAUUUUAAUAAUAAAUGUAUUAUUUUGUACAGAGACCUGAUUGAUAAAUGCUACACGUGUACAUCUCAUUGAGCUCAAGGACAGAGCUUCCCCUCUCCUCACUGUCUGCAGUGCCUGGUCCAGGCAGGACCUGCCAUCAAGUCAGUGCUGAAAAUGUUGGCCACACAAAAACAUCUGCACCGUCGGAAGGAAUAGAAGCUCCAGAACAAUGCCUGGGCUUCAAGAUCCAAUGGAACUUUGUCAGUUGAACGCCAGUCUUGAAUCCAGGUCUUCUUGCUUCCAAAUGUGGUCCUCUGCUGUCUCAUCAGCCUCUUGGGGCCUCACGCUGCUGAGAUUUCUGACUGCUUUAUUGCUCUCCUCAUUUUUUUCUCUUGCCUGCUACAGCCGAGAAGCAGAAAUAAAGGUUUGUUGUUGAAACAUGGCCGGGAGGAAAGUA